GGACUUCGGGGGACGUUAACGGCGUCGAGCGGCGGACGGGUGAGUAGUGCCUGGGGAAUUGCCCUGAUGUGGGGGAUAACCAUUGGAAACGAUGGCUAAUACCGCAUAAUAGCCUCGGCUCAAAGAGGGGGACCUUCGGGCCUCUCGCGUCAGGAUAUGCCCAGGUGGGAUUAGCUAGUUGGUGAGGUAAUGGCUCACCAAGGCGACGAUCCCUAGCUGGUCUGAGAGGAUGACCAGCCACACUGGAACUGAGACACGGUCCAGACUCCUACGGGAGGCAGCAGUGGGGAAUAUUGCACAAUGGGCGCAAGCCUGAUGCAGCCAUGCCGCGUGUAUGAAGAAGGCCUUCGGGUUGUAAAGUACUUUCAGCAGUGAGGAAGGCGGUGUCGUUAAUAGCGGCAUCAUUUGACGUUAGCUGCAGAAGAAGCACCGGCUAACUCCGUGCCAGCAGCCGCGGUAAUACGGAGGGUGCGAGCGUUAAUCGGAAUUACUGGGCGUAAAGCGCAUGCAGGUGGUUUGUUAAGUCAGAUGUGAAAGCCCGGGGCUCAACCUCGGAAUUGCAUUUGAAACUGGCAGACUAGAGUACUGUAGAGGGGGGUAGAAUUUCAGGUGUAGCGGUGAAAUGCGUAGAGAUCUGAAGGAAUACCGGUGGCGAAGGCGGCCCCCUGGACAGAUACUGACACUCAGAUGCGAAAGCGUGGGGAGCAAACAGGAUUAGAUACCCUGGUAGUCCACGCCGUAAACGAUGUCUACUUGGAGGUUGUGGCCUUGAGCCGUGGCUUUCGGAGCUAACGCGUUAAGUAGACCGCCUGGGGAGUACGGUCGCAAGAUU
rnacentral:rRNA from 1 species